AAUAAGACAGCCUUUUUGCUAAUUAAAAUGAUUAUUAAGAAACCAUUUAUUGAGAAUGAACACAGUUGUUAGAACCUAGGAGAAUUCUGCACUCUUAAUAAUAAUAACAGCAGCCAUCAGCAGCCCUGUGGGCCACCAGUUCACCUGCCCCAUUCCUGAAUUCAAAUGGGGUGAUACUCUGCCUGGGGGCCCAGGGUUUCAAACCCCUCCCUCUCCAGGCGCCUCCAGGACCACAUGCUGCCUGCGUUGCUAGGGAUGCUCAUUUCCCACCCACCCCUCUCCUGCACUAGGGUUCUUACCGUAGAGUCUGGGCCGAGUAUGGAAGCAGGGCGGUUUGCCUGUCAGAGAGCCUGGUGCGCACCGAGCAUAGCUGGGCAGGCAGGCUGUGAAACCUCAGGCCUCACUCCAUCUCCCUGGGUCUCGGCCUCCCAGACUAUGUGUCAAAAGGGUGGGUGGGCUGCAUGGCCUCAGAGGUCCCUACCUCUCUUGGAGCUCGAUGCUAAGGCAUCUGAUGGAGCCUUCACUCCCAGAAAGGCACACCUCUGGGUAAUGCGGGAGCUUGGGACCGGCAGAGCCACGCGGCUCCUUGCGGUUCUCCUCCCCUCCCUCUUCGGGAGGGCUGUGCAGGCAGCCGAGGCAAGGCACUCUUGUCGCGAAACGCAUGAGGAGCCUCAGAGACGCCCUGCCUCCCGCAAGGAAGAAGCGGGGCGCGGUGUAGCGAGGCGAGACCCAGGCGCCGGGCCCGAGGCGUGGAGCCUGGGAGCCAGAGCCUGGAGAGGAUUGGACCGCUACCUAAAGCAAUACCCGGGACGGGGGCGCGGAAGGGGACAACUCAGAUCGAAGGUGGUGCAGCAAUGCGGCAGUGCAGAGAGGCCCCGGGGAAUUUUUAGGGACGUCGUCUGGGCUGUGUAUGUCUUCAGGGGCCGUGAGUCCACGUGCUCUGACUCCCCCUUCCCCACUGUCCUCCCCGGGUCCUUCCAGGAACCUGGUCCGCAGCCUAUUAAAAAGAUUUUAAAGUGUUACAGUGGAGAACGUGGGCUUUUGAGUCCCACAGACCUGGGCUCCAGGCUGGUCGGCCGAAUUACUAGCUUUGUGACCUUUUGUGGCUCCAUUGAGCCUUAGUUUCUUCCCACGGAGCAAUUGUAAGGAUUGUAUGCAACCAGGGCGGUGAGGUCGCCCAGUCGGAAGCUGGUGACCCAAGCGCCAGGGUCAGUGGACUGCACACUCAGGUGCAGGUGCAGAAGCUUCAAGGCCAGACCUCAAGGCUCAGACGGCUCCUCCCUGCACGGGGGCUCUCGGGCAGGCAGGUCAGCGCCCCAAGAUGAAUCUGAGACCUUAGCGGGGGGCGACUACCCGCUUGUCUCCCGGGUGGGGCUGGGGCCUGGGUGUCUCGUCAGAGCUCCCCAGGGGGUUCCUCGGUGCUCCCAGACUUGAGCACCAGUUUCGCGGAAGAAAUAAACAAAGAGGCUUUGGUGGGGAGGGAGGGAAG
rnacentral:lncRNA from 1 species